UAAUGACAAUAUUGGCCCAGCAGCCUACC
rnacentral:piRNA from 1 species